UGCCCUAUCAGUCAAUUUGGUUGUGAAACCUAGUAUUUAUUCGGGUAUCACAGCCAUUUUGACGAGUUUGGUUG